rnacentral:lncRNA from 1 species
UUUUUAAUUAUUAUUAUUUUUUUUUUUUUUUUUUUUUCCGCCUAAUUUUUUUUCUUGCGUAUUAUUGAUGUUUCAAAAGAUGUCGCUUAGAUAUUUGGAAUAUGAUAUCGUAUAGUUUAUACGCUUUAAAAAUUUACAACUGUGUAACAAAAUACUUUACGUUGUAAGAGUUAUCUCCCCAAACACUGUUUUUCUUGUGGCCACUACUCCUUCGCAACCGUUAAAGAUUACGACAAAUUUAUUUUACCAAAUUGCUCGUUACAUCUUCAGGAUUAGGAUAUUCAUUUGGACCGAAGCUUUACGGAGACUCCAUAUGAGAGUUAUUCCCCCUUUUCCAUUAAAUUAAGUGAUAUGCAUUUCUAAAUGGUAAACCAUAAGUGAUAGAGACCUAGGGUCUUUAGAUUUGAGGUCCUUGGUCCAAAAAAUGAAAAUGAGGUCAAGGUCAAAGGUCAAGGUCAUAUUCUAAAUUUUUGAUUUUGGCUUAUUUUCAUUUAUUUUCAAAUACCUUAUGACAU